GAGACACUGGCCGGGGCCCCGGGAAGAGUUGUCUUUUCUUGUUAAGGAGCGGGAUCCCUGGAAUCGGUUCGACCGGAGAGAGGGUCUGCGGCUCCGUAGAGCGCCGCGUCUACGGCGGCGUCCGGUGCGCUCCGGCUGGUCCUUGAAAAUCCGGGGGAAGUGUUGGGACUCUCGCCUCGGGUCGUACCCAUGACCGCAGCCGGUCUCCAAGGUGAAUAGCCUCUGGCCGAUAGAACAAUGUAGGUAAGGGAAGUCGGCAAGCCGGAUCCGUACCCCCCGCAGGGAUGGAUUCCACCCCUCUGUCACAUCAUCUCUCUUUACUAUAAUACCCUCCUCUCCCUUUUCUUUUAAAACCAAUGGAUGAUGUAUGGGUCCCCUCCCCUUCCCCUCGU
rnacentral:ncRNA from 1 species